rnacentral:rRNA from 1 species
GAUGAACGCUGGCGGCGUGCCUAAUACAUGCAAGUCGAGCGAACAGACGAGGAGCUUGCUCCUCUGACGUUAGCGGCGGACGGGUGAGUAACACGUGGAUAACCUACCUAUAAGACUGGGAUAACUUCGGGAAACCGGAGCUAAUACCGGAUAAUAUAUUGAACCGCAUGGUUCAAUAGUGAAAGACGGUUUUGCUGUCACUUAUAGAUGGAUCCGCGCCGCAUUAGCUAGUUGGUAAGGUAACGGCUUACCAAGGCAACGAUGCGUAGCCGACCUGAGAGGGUGAUCGGCCACACUGGAGCUGAGACACGGUCCAGACGCCUACGGGAGGCAGCAGUAGGGAAUCUUCCGCAAUGGGCGAAAGCCUGACGGAGCAACGCCGCGUGAGUGAUGAAGGUCUUCGGAUCGUAAAACUCUGUUAUGAGGGAAGAACAAAUGUGUAAGUAACUAUGCACGUCUUGACGGUACCUAAUCAGAAAGCCACGGCUAACUACGUG